UGAAACGAGUUGUUGUGCUGGCUACAUGUUUGAUUCGUCCAGAAACUGCGUUGUCUGUCCGAGCGGACUACAUGGGGUUCAGUGUUCCACUUCUUGUGCUAAAGGUUUCUAUGGAGAACUCUGCACAAGUCGCUGCGAGUGCCCGGAUGAGCUUUGCAAUGCGACAGUUGGGUGCCUUCAAAGACAAGAGGACGUCAAAAGACAAUGUUUAUGAUGAUGUGCGCAACACCUCGAAAGGCAACAGACAUACAUGUACCAUUGGCAUUGACUUAAAGCCUAUGGACAACUCGCCGCCACCUCUGUAUCCAAGAGACUUUUAAGAUUGUGCCAUUGAAUUCAAUCAUUCUACCAAAAUGACAUUUCUACUUUUAUUAUACGUGAAGCAAUGUCGCAAAAUGCAUGAGCUUGUUGUAUUUGUGUCAUAAGUUCCACAGAGAUGUAUGAAAAAUAGUUUCCAUUUCACAAUUUUUUUUACUAGUUGUAACUAAAAAGUUAAACAAAGGUGUACACAAGUUAAGAUAAUGUUUUUCUUAAA
rnacentral:sRNA from 1 species